UGGAAUGCAUGUGUAUCUCAUGGAGCUGCACAUUUUGAGUGGUGAAAGGUCAAGGUCAUCCUUCAAGGUCAGAGGUCAAAUAUAUGUGGCCCAAAUCGCUUAUUUUAUGAAUACUUUUGCAAUAUUGAAUAUAGCAACUUGAUAUUUGGCAUGCAUGUGUAUCUCAUGGAGCUGCACAUUUUGAGUGAUGAAAGGUCAAGGUCAUCCUUCACAAGGUCAAGGUCAUCCUUCAAAGUCAAAGGUCAUAUAGGGGGACAUUGUGUUUCACAAACGCAUCUUGUUUUUAAGAAUUCAUUUAUUAGUUUGUAAGUACUUGAGUAUGUAACUAUCCACUGACGGGACAGACAAAUAAGUUAUAUAUGAACACUAGAAGAAAUACAAAUGAAGAAAAUGUUAAUGUUGAUUGCAUCCAAAAGAAAAACAUGAGAUAAUAUCGAUGUUAUGAUGAUGUUCCCUGGAUAAUAUGAAUAAUUAUCAAAAUAUAAAUUGCUGAAAACAUUAACUAAACGUUAUAUAAUGCUCUUAUGGUGUAAAAAAAUAUAUUGAAUGGCUAAACAAUUCAAAACGAAGCUUUUAGUGUAUAAACUUGCUGCCUACAUAUUGCCAUAGAAUAAAUUGUUUUUCAUAGAAAAAUACAACUUACUAUUCUUGACACCUGUUCAGCAUACAAUCUAUGCCACCAAUUGACUUUAGCAAACAAUCAUAAUUUUGUUUUAUUUACUCAUAAAGUAAAAACUGUAUAUAA